CGAAUCCUGAAGUGUUCGUCGGUGCAAUUCAGUUUUGACCGAACAUUCUAUCGUAGGGAGUCUGGAUUUUGGCUUGGAUGACAUGCCCUUAUUAGGGACGCCAGAACGGCCGGAUAGGACACCCACCUGCUGAAAACCCGCAGGAUCAAAACGAUAUCGACAUGGACGGCACAUUUGGGAUUUGU
rnacentral:other from 1 species